GUUUGGAUGGGGCUUAGGCUUCGGAUGCCCACAUUUGGUGAUUUAAAAGCCUAAGCUUAUCUACACAUGUGGACCUACAACUUUCAUGAAGAAACCUAGUCCAGAUUCGAAUUUUAUCAGAUAGAUAACUAGCUCUUAAAAUUCAAAACAAAUUUCCAACUUAAAUACAUUGGAUCUAGCUAUCUUUAUUUAUUGUAUUAAUCUUUAUAUUAGUAAGUAAAUGUUUCUAUUUAAUAAGGAAAAACAAAAGUUUAGAUACAAUAAAUGAAGACAACUAGAUCCAAAGUAUUUAAGUAAGAAUUCAUUUUAAAAUUUGUGAGCCAAUUAUU
rnacentral:lncRNA from 1 species